CUGUAAUGUUGUGUUGUCAUUUUAAUGUUAUAUUUCACAUAGCCAUAAAAUAGGGAGGUUUGGCAUGCCACAAAACCAGGUUCAACCCACCAUUUUUUCCUUUAAAAAUGUCUUGUACCAAGUCAGGAAUAUGGCCAUUGUUAUAUUAUAGUUCGUUUCUGUGUGUGUUACAUUUUAACGUUGUGUUUCCGUUGUGUCGUUU
rnacentral:lncRNA from 1 species